rnacentral:rRNA from 1 species
GGAUUAGGCAUGCAAGUCGAACGCUGAAGCUCCUUUCGGGGGGUGGAUGAGUGGCGAACGGGUGAGUAAUGCAUGAAUACCUACCUCGAUGACGGGGAUAACUAAGGGAAACUUUAGCUAAUACCGGAUGUGGUCCUUACGGACUAAAGCUGGCCUCUGCAUAUGUUGGCGCAUCGAGAGGGGUUCAUGUGCUAUUAGCUUGUUGGUGGGGUAACGGCCUACCAAGGCGAUGAUGGCUAGCCGGCCUGAGAGGGUGUCCGGCCACACUGGGACUGAGACACUGCCCAGACUCCUACGGGAGGCUGCAGUCGAGAAUCUUCCACUAAUGCGCGAAAGCGUGAUGGAGCGACGCCGCGUGGGCGAUGAAGGCCUUCGGGUUGUAAAGCCCUGUUGGAUGGGCGUAAUCCCUCAGGAUUAAUACUCUUUGAGGUUGAACUCCCAUCGGAGGAAGCACCGGCUAAAUUCGUGCCAGCAGCCGCGGUAAUACGAAUGGUGCGAGCGUUGUUCGGAAUCACUGGGCAUAAAGAGCACGUAGGCGGUUUGGUCAGUCAGCUGUGAAAUCCCCCGGCUCAACCGGGGAACAGCAGCUGAUACUGCCGAACUAGAGUGCGCGAGGGGAGAGCGGAAUUCCUGGUGGAGCGGUGAUAUGCGUAGAUAUCAGGAGGAACGCCGGAGGCGAAAGCGGCUCUCUGGUGCGCAACUGACGCUGAGGUGCGAAAGCUAGGGGAGCGAACAGGAUUAGAUACCCUGGUAGUCCUAGCCGUAAACGAUGGGCACUAAGUAGAGGGGUUUU